rnacentral:tRNA from 1 species
UGCCCAGAUAGCUCAGUCGGUAGAGCAGGGGACUGAAAAUCCCCGUGUCGGUGGUUCGAUUCCGCCUCUGGGCAN